UACGUAGGGGGCAAGCGUUGUCCGGAUUUAUUGGGCGUAAAGCGCACGCAGGCGGUGCGGUAAGUUUCGAGUGACAGGUGGUGGCUUAACUGCCACAGGACUCGGAAAACUGCUGCACUUGAGGGCUUGAGAGGGACGCGGAAUUCCAGGUGGAGCGGUGAAAUUCGUAGAUAUUGGGAAGAACACCGGUGGCGAAGGCGGCGCUCUGGACCGAGACUGACGCUGAGGCGCGAAAGCGUGGGGAGCAAACAGG
rnacentral:rRNA from 1 species